rnacentral:rRNA from 1 species
UACGUAGGGUCCGAGCGUUGUCCGGAUUUAUUGGGCGUAAAGAGCUCGUAGGUGGUUUGUCGCGUUGUCCGUGAAAACUCACAGCUCAACUGUGGGCGUGCGGGCGAUACGGGCAGACUGGAGUACUGCAGGGGAGACUGGAAUUCCUGGUGUAGCGGUGGAAUGCGCAGAUAUCAGGAGGAACACCGGUGGCGAAGGCGGGUCUCUGGGCAGUAACUGACGCUGAGGAGCGAAAAGCGUGGGGGAGC